ACGGGGCCCGCACAAGCGGUGGAGCAUGUGUUUAUCGAAGCAACGCGAAGAACCUUUACCAGGUCUUGACAUCCCGAUGCUUAUUUCUAGAGAUAGAAAGUUACUUCGGUACAUCGGUGACAGGUGGUGCAUGGUUGUCGUCAGCUCGUGUCGUGAGAUGUUGGGUUAAGUCCCGCAACGAGCGCAACCCCUAUUGUUAGUUGCCAUCAUUCAGUUGGGCACUCUAGCGAGACUGCCGGUAAUAAACCGGAGGAAGGUGGGGAUGACGUCAAAUCAUCAUGCCCCUUAUGACCUGGGCUACACACGUGCUACAAUGGUUGGUACAACGAGUUGCGAGUCGGUGACGGCGAGCUAAUCUCUUAAAGCCAAUCUCAGUUCGGAUUGUAGGCUGCAACUCGCCUACAUGAAGUCGGAAUCGCUAGUAAUCGCGGAUCAGCACGCCGCGGUGAAUACGUUCCCGGGCCUU
rnacentral:rRNA from 1 species